GUUAAUUUCAGGGAUUGUGGACGAUUUCAUCCAUUUUAGUCAAAAGAAAUAACCCAAAAUCCUAACGCGCUUGAUGGAAAAGUAGACACCGAGAGAAGCAGAUAGAGAUGAAGGGAGGUGUGAGCUUUCUCAACGCUUCCCCUAUCCCUCAGUUACUACCAUUACCAAACGACAGGCUCUCCAUUGCCAGAGUCUAUACGUCAAAACGACGUCGUCUUAGGGCGGAGAUCGAACUUAGGGUUUGCGUCAACCGGACUUGCCGGAGGCAAGGUUCUCUGCAAACCCUCGAAACCCUUUCCGGCAUAGCUUCCCCCGACGUCGCCGUCAAGUCUUGCGGCUGUCUCGGCCGUUGCGGCGCCGGCCCCAACCUCGUGGCGCUUCCAGACGGCGUCAUCGUCGGACACUGUGGGACGGCUGCUCGUGCUGCAGAAGUUAUGAUGAGCUUCGUCGCCGGCGAUGCUCAGGGGAGUUUGGCUGCUUUGGCAUUGAGGAAGAGAGCUGAGAAUGAGUUGGAAAAAAAUAAUUUCUCGGAGGCUGAGCUUUUGCUUUCUCAGGCUAUAGAUCUUAAACCAUCCGGAGGUAUCCAUAUCAUAUAUAAAGUCAGGUCUUCUGCAAGGUUGACAAUGGGCAACUAUGCUGGUGCUCUGGAAGAUGCUAAUGAAGCUCUGACAUUAGCUCCUCGAUAUCCUGAGGCUUAUAUUUGUCAGGGAGAUGCUUUCUUGGCUAUGGACCAGUUUGAUGAUGCUGAAAAAUCAUACUCGACAUGUUUAGAGCUCGAUCCCUCCAUUCGUCGUUCCAAAUCAUUCAGGGCUCGGGUUGCAAAGCUUCAAGAGAAACUCAGUGCUGCAAGUACACGUUAAGAUAUUUAAUCUAACUGAAGUUAAGCGAGAAUAAAUGGAAUUAAUUCUGGAUCCCUUUGUCGUUUCCAGGUCGAUGUAUGGGUCGGCUAAUUCCAGUUCUGUGAUCUUGUGAAGAGAGGACAUAAUUCACUCUUUGGAGGAUUUUCUUGGUAACCAUUCAAUCCCUUUGUUCUGUAUAUAGCUAUAUUUUCUCUGUUUCUGAGCAUACUCGGUUGUUUCUUUUUAUUGUAAAAACAAAAUCACAUAGACAUUGUCAUAUGAGUCACAGGGACAACCUGUGUCCUGUGUUUGUUCUUGUUACGUAGCUUAAUGAUCUGGUUCAAUUUUUUUUGUUAUUUCAAUCGUUUUCCUUUAUAAUGUUAUUUAAAUUUAUUCCUGUAUCAACAAUAUUGUUGAUUGGGCAA